rnacentral:rRNA from 1 species
UACGAGGGGGGCUAGCGUUGCUCGGAAUUACUGGGCGUAAAGGGAGCGUAGGCGGACUGUUAAGUUAGAGGUGAAAGCCCAGGGCUCAACCUUGGAAUUGCCUUUGAUACUGGCAGUCUUGAGUACGGAAGAGGUAUGUGGAACUCCGAGUGUAGAGGUGAAAUUCGUAGAUAUUCGGAAGAACACCAGUGGCGAAGGCGACAUACUGGUCCGUUACUGACGCUGAGGCUCGAAAGCGUGGGGAGCAAACAGG